AGCUCCAAUAGCGUAUAUUAAAGUUGCUGCAGUUAAAAAGCUCGUAGUUGCAUUUCCGAGGCAAGGGAUUAGUCCGACCUUUGGUGGGUAUUUAAUCCUCUUGCCUCGUCCUUGAGUGGUGCUUCUUGGUAUUAAGUUAUCGAGGAGAUAGCCGCUCAUCGUUUACUGUGAGAAAAUUAGAGUGUUCAAAGCAGGCUUAUGCCGUUGAAUAUAUUAGCAUGGAAUAAUAAGAUAGGACCUCGGUACUAUUGUGUUGGUUUGAGAACCAAGGUAAUGAUGAAUAGGGACAGUUGGGGGUAUUCGUAUUCAGUUGUCAGAGGUGAAAUUCUUAGAUUUACGGAAGACGAACUACGGCGAAAGCAUUUACCAAGGAUGUUUUCA
rnacentral:rRNA from 1 species